AUUGAACGCUGGCGGCAGGCCUAACACAUGCAAGUCGAACGAGUGGCGGACGGGUGAGUAAUGUCUGGGAAACUGCCCGAUGGAGGGGGAUAACUACUGGAAACGGUAGCUAAUACCGCAUACCAUCGGAUGUGCCCCGAUGGGAUUAGAUAGUAGGUGGGGUAAUGGCUCACCUAGGCGACUAUCCCCAGCUGGUCUGAGAGGAUGACCAGCCAAACUGGAACUGCGAAAUGGUCCAGACUCCUACGGUAGGCAGCAGUGGGGAAUAUUGCACAAUGGGCGCAAGUCUGAUGCAGCCAUGCCGCUUGUAUGAAGAAGGCCUUCGGGUUGUAAAGUACUUUCAGCGGGGAGGCGUUACCCGCAGAAGAAGCACCGGCUAACUCCGUGCCAGCCGCCGCGGUAAUAC
rnacentral:rRNA from 1 species